rnacentral:rRNA from 1 species
AAUGUGGAAUUCGCCCUUGAGUUUGAUCAUGGCUCAGAUUGAACGCUGGCGGCAUGCUUUACACAUGCAAGUCGAACGGCAGCACGGGGGCAACCCUGGUGGCGAGUGGCGAACGGGUGAGUAAUGCAUCGGAACGUGCCCAGUAGUGGGGGAUAACGCGUCGAAAGAUGUGCUAAUACCGCAUAAGCACUACGGUGGAAAGCGGGGGACCGAAAGGCCUCGCGCUAUUGGAGCGGCCGAUGCCCGAUUAGCUAGUUGGUGAGGUAAUGGCUCACCAAGGCAACGAUCGGUAGCUGGUCUGAGAGGAUGAUCAGCCACACUGGGACUGAGACACGGCCCAGACUCCUACGGGAGGCAGCAGUGGGGAAUUUUGGACAAUGGGCGAAAGCCUGAUCCAGCCAUGCCGCGUGAGUGAAGAAGGCCUUCGGGUUGUAAAGCUCUUUCGGCCGGAACGAAAUCGCUCGGGCUAAUACCCCGGGUGGAUGACGGUACCGGAACAAGAAGCACCGGCUAACUACGUGCCAGCAGCCGCGGUAAUACGUAGGGUGCAGGCGUUAAUCGGAAUUACUGGGCGUAAAGCGUGCGCAGGCGGCUCUUUAAGUCAGAUGUGAAAUCCCCGAGCUUAACUUGGGAACUGCGUUUGAAACUGGAGAGCUAGAGUGCGGUAGAGGGGGGUGGAAUUCCACGUGUAGCAGUGAAAUGCGUAGAUAUGUGGAGGAACACCGAUGGCGAAGGCAGCCCCCUGGGCCUGCACUGACGCUCAUGCACGAAAGCGUGGGUAGCAAACAGGAUUAGAUACCCUGGUAGUCCACGCCCUAAACUAUGUCGACUGGUUGUUGGGGGAAAUUGUCCCUCAGUAACGUAGCUAACGCGUGAAGUCGACCGCCUGGGGAGUACGGUCGCAAGAUUAAAACUCAAAGGAAUUGACGGGAACCCGCACAAGCGGUGGAUUAUGUGGAUUAAUUCGAUGCAACGCGAAGAACCUUACCUACC